AUUGAACGCUGGCGGCAGGCCUAACACAUGCAAGUCGAACGAGUGGCGGACGGGUGAGUAAUGUCUGGGAAACUGCCCGAUGGAGGGGGAUAACUAAUGGAAACGGUAGCUAAUACCGAAUAGCAGCGGAUGUGCCCAUGGGGGAGGAGCUAGUAGGUGGGGUAAUGGCUCACCUAGGCGACGAUCCCUAGCUGGUCUGAGAGGAUGACCAGCCACACGGGAACUGAGACACGGUCCAGACUCCUACGGGAGGCAGCAGUGGGGAAUAUUGCACAAUGGGCGCAAGCCUGAUGCAGCCAUGCCGCGUGUAUGAAGAAGGCCUUCGGGUUGUAAAGUACUUUCAGCGGGGAGGCGUUACCCGCAGAAGAAGCACCGGCUAACUCCGUGCCAGCAGCCGCGGUAAUUC
rnacentral:rRNA from 1 species